GAUGAACGCUGGCGGCGUGCCUAAUACAUGCAAGUCGAGCGAACAGACGAGGAGCUUGCUCCUCUGACGUUAGCGGCGGACGGGUGAGUAACACGUGGAUAACCUACCUAUAAGACUGGGAUAACUUCGGGAAACCGGAGCUAAUACCGGAUAACAUGUUGAACCGCAUGGUUCAACAGUGAAAGACGGUCUUGCUGUCACUUAUAGAUGGAUCCGCGCCGCAUUAGCUAGUUGGUAAGGUAACGGCUUACCAAGGCAACGAUGCGUAGCCGACCUGAGAGGGUGAUCGGCCACACUGGAACUGAGACACGGUCCAGACUCCUACGGGAGGCAGCAGUAGGGAAUCUUCCGCAAGGGGCGAAAGCCUGACGGAGCAACGCCGCGUGAGUGAAGAAGGUCUUCGGAUCGUAAAACUCUGUUAUUAGGGAAGAACAAAUGUGUAAGUAACUAUGCACGUCUUGACGGUACCUAAUCAGAAAGCCACGGCUAACUACGUG
rnacentral:rRNA from 1 species